GCAGGCAAUGAGCAGCAGAGUGAGAACUAUGCAGAGCCACCUGUGACAUCAAUGGAAAUUGUGGAGCCUUUAAUAGAAACAGAGGGGUUUGGAAAUCAAACAGAACGGAAAAGGAAAAGGGGCAACCAAAUGAAAAAGGAAAAGGACAACUCCUCUGCCUCUCUAGGGUCUGACCUUUCUGUAUGUCUAAAUUCAUGUUCAGACCAAGAAAAGUAUCCUCUCUGUGGGAGAAUAUUCAAAUGUAAAUCACAAUUAAACAUACACUUCAAUGUUCCCAUGGCGGAGACACCAUACAAAUUCAUGGAAUGUGGAAAUACCUUCAGUCAGAGUGGAAAUCUACAUUCACAUCAAAGAACCCACACAGGAGAAAGACCAUAUAAGUGCAUGGAAUGCGGCCUGAGCUUCACUCACAGUGGAAGUCUACGUUUACAUCAAAGAUCCCACACGGGUGAAAGAUCAUAUGAAUGCAUGGAAUGUGGGAAGAGCUUCAGUCACAGUGGUAGUUUACAUUCACAUCAAAGAACUCACACAGGAGAAAGACCAUAUAAAUGCAUGGAAUGUGGGAAGAGCUUUGGUCGGAGAGAUGGUCUAUAUUCACAUGAAAGAACCCACACAGGAGAAAGACCAUAUAAAUGCAUGGAAUGUGGAAAGAGCUUCAGGCAGAGAGGACAUCUACAUACACAUCAAAGAUCCCACACAGGAGAAAGACCAUAUAAAUGCAUGGAAUGCGGGAAAAGCUUCGGCCGGGGUGACAUUCUACGUUCACAUCAAAGAAUCCACACAGGGGAGAAACCAUAUAAAUGCAUGGAAUGUGGGAAGAGCUUCCAUCAGAAUGCAAGUCUAUAUUCACAUCAAAGAACCCACACAGGAGAAAGACCAUAUAAAUAUAUGGAAUGUGGGGAGAGCUUCAGUCAGAAUGGAAGCUUACGUUCACAUCAAAGAUCCCAACCAGGGGAAAGACCAUAUAAAUGCAUGGAAUGUGGAAAGAGCUUCAGUUGGAGUGGAAGUCUACGUUUACAUCAAAGAACCCACACAGGGGAGAAACCAUAUGAAUGCAUGGAAUGUGGGGAGAGCUUCAGUCGGCGUGAUAGCCUACAUUCACAUCAAAGAUCCCACACAGGGGAAAGACCAUAUAAAUGCAUGGAAUGUGGAAAGAGCUUCAGUCAAAGUGGAAACCUACGUUUACAUCAAAGAACCCACACAGGAGAGAAACCAUAUAAGUGCAUGGAAUGUGGAGAAAGCUUCAGUAACAGUGGAAACCUACGUUUACAUCAAAGAUCCCACACAGGGGAAAGACCAUAUAAAUGCAUAGAAUGUGGAAAGAGCUUCAGUCACAAUGGAAGUCUACGUUUACAUCAAAGAACCCACACAGGAGAGAAACCAUAUAAGUGCAUGGAAUGUGGGGAGAGCUUCAGUCGGAGUGAUAGCCUACAUUCACAUCACAGAAUCCACACAGGAGAAAGACCAUAUAAAUGCAUGGAAUGUGGACUGAGCUUCAGUCAAAGGAGAAAUCGAAGUGCACAUCAAAGAACCCACAAGAAAAAGACCAUAUACAUGAAUGGAAUGAGGAAAGAGCUUUAAUCAGAGUGGACAUCUACUUUUACAUCAAGGAACCCACACAGGUGAAAGAGUAUAUAAUGGCAAGAGCUACAGUGACAAUCUAUGUUCACGUCAAAGAACCCCCACAGGGGAGAAAACAGAUAAAUGCAUAGAAUGUGCAAAGAAUUUUUCUCUUAGUGACACUUUACAUUUACAGCAAAGAUCCAACACAAGGGAGAAACCAUAUAAAUGCCUGAAAUGUGGACAGAGCUUGAGCCAGAAUGAAAAUCUAUGUUCAGCUCAAAGAACCCAUAUGGGAGAAACUAGUUAAAUGUAUGAAAUGCAAGAAGAGCUUUUGUCAAAAAGAAUGCAGAAUUAGAAAGUGAAGGGUUCAAACUACAAUUGCUGUCAUAUUAUUAAUGAAGGCAAAGAGUCAGAGACGCUGUGAAGAGUUGGUAGUAUGAAGGAAGAAUCAGAAUUUAAAAUGUUGUGCACAGAUGAUAGUCAUUUGAUAGAGGAGAUCAACAAUAAUUCACAACCGAUGCAACCUCCACCACGACAUAAACAUUCGGCAAUGGAACACACUCCUUCCUCGGAGAGCGGUGGAGUCUCCUCCUGUGGAGGUCUUUAAGCAGAAGCUGGAUGGCCAUCUGUCAGGUAUGCUUUGAUGGAGAGUUCCUGCAUGGCAGAAGGAGGGGUUGGAACCCCUUUGGGGUCUCUUCCAACUCUAGGAUUCCAUGAUUCUAAGAUCAAGCGCUCCGGAAGACCCAGCCGUUCCAGGAUCUGAUUAAGUAGAGAACCUCAUUAACACUGCGAACCUUUGGACGUUCUCCAAUACUCUCCUUCUGCCUUAUCAUAUCCAUAUCAUUAUUAGUUGGUUGUUUGGUUCUUAAUAAUUGUUAGAUGACCCUUUAUAUCUUUCUGUGGACUUCUGAACUUUUCUCAAUACUGUUUUUCUACAUUAUUGUAUCCAGAUUGUUGUUGCUUUUUUAUUUUGUUAUUAAUAAUUGUUAGAUGGCUGUUUUUAUUU